AUGCCACACACACACACACCACACACUCACACCACAUACACACUAUACCACACACACACACCACACACACACACCACACACUCACACCACACACACACACCCACACCACAUACACACUAUACCACACACCCACACACCCACACACACCACACACAUACACACUAUACCACACACACACACACACCACACACACAUACACACCCACACCACAUACACACCCACACCACACACACACACACCACACACUCACAUUACAUACACACUAUACCACACACACACACACACACACCACACUCACAUACACACCCACACCACACACACACCCACACCACAUACACACACCACACACACCCACACCACACACAUACACACACACCACACACACACACACCACACACACACACACACACACCACAUACACACUAUACCACACACACACACACCCACACACACCACACACACACUAUACCACACACACACACACACCCACACCACACACACACAUACACACACACACCACACACAUACACACACACACCACAUACACACACACCACACACUCACACACACACACACACCACAUACACACUAUACCACACACACACACACCCACACACACCACACACACACUAUACCACACACACACACACACCCACACCACACACACAUACACACACACACCACACACAUACACACACACACCACAUACACACACACCACACACUCACACACACACACACACCACAUACACACUAUACCACACACACACACACACCACACACUCACACCACAUACACACACACACCACACACUCACACACACACACACACCACACACACACCCACACCACAUACACACACCACACACACCCACACCACACACACACCACACACACACACACCACACACUCACACCACAUACACACUAUACCACACACACACACACACACACACACCACACACACACCCACACCACAUACACACACCACACACACCCACACCACACACAUACACACACACACCACACACACACACACCACAUACACACCACACACAUACACACUAUACCACACACACACACACCACAUACACACUAUACCACACAGACACACACCACACUCACAUCACAUACACACUAUACCACACACACACACACACACACACCACACACACAUACACACCCACACCACACACACACACACACCACACACAUACACACACACACCACACACACCCACACCACACACAUACACACACACACCACACACACACACACCACACACUCACACCACAUACACACUAUACCACACACACACACACCACAUACACACCACACACAUACACACUAUACCACACACACACACACCACAUACAUACUAUACCACACACACACACACCACACACUCACAUCACAUACACACUAUACCACACACACACACACACACACACACACACACCACACACAUACACACCCACACCACACACACACACACACCACACACAUACACACACACACCACACACACACACACACCACACACACACACACACCACACACAUACACACCCACACCACAUACACACUAUACCACACACACACACACACACACACCACACACAUACACACACACACACACCACACAGGCGCCACAGCACACCCACACAGACUAUACCACACACACACACACACCACACACCCACACCACAUACACACCACACACACACACACCCACACCACACACACACCACACACAUACACACACACACCACACACACACACCCCCACACCACACACACACACACACACACCACACACACACCACACACACACACACCACCACAUACACACUAUACCACACACACACACACACACCACACACACACACACACACACACACACACACACCACACAUACACACACACACACCCCACACAGGCGCCACAGCACACCCACACCCACACACACACCACAUACACACUAUACCACACACACACACACAAACCACACACACACACCACACAGGCACUGCAGCACACCCACACAGACUAUACCACACACACACACACCACACACCCACACCACAUACACACUAUACCACACACACACACACCACAUACACACUAUACCACACACACACACACCACACACUCACAUACACACACACACCACACACACACCCACACCACAUACACACUAUACCACACACACACACACACCACACACUCACAUACACACACACACCACACACACACCCACACCACAUACACACUAUACCACACACACACACACACACACCACACACUCACAUACACACACACACCACACAGGCGCCACAGCACACCCACACCCCCACACACACCACAUACACACUAUACCACACACACGUACACACACACACACACCACACACACAGACUAUACCACACACAUAUACACCAUCACACACCACACACACACCACACAGGCACCACACUAUACCCACACACACACCACACCCACACACAUAUACACAUAUACAUACCACCCACACACACUAUGCCACACACACACAACACAGACACCCACACACACAUACACAAUACACACACACACACCCCCCGUACACACGCCACAUCACACAUUCCACACACACAAACCCCACACCACACACACAUACCACAGAUACCACACCACAGACACAUGACACACACCACACACGCAUUACCACAUACACACGUCUCACACACCGUAUGCAUACCACACACGUAUCCCACGUAUGUACCAUGCACAACACAUCGCACACACAGUAUCAGAACUAGUAAGCCAGUUCAUACGGCAGGACAUGAACCAGUACAGGAAAAUCUACUGCAUUCAUACGUUAGUAAUGAACAAUUUGGAAAUGAAAUUAAGCAGGUCCGUCUACCACAGUAUUAA
rnacentral:lncRNA from 1 species